GAGAGUGUAGCUCAGUAGUAGAGCACGUGCUUACCAUGCAGGAAGUCCUGGGUUCAGUCCCCAGUACCUCCA
rfam:Camelus ferus unplaced genomic scaffold scaffold780, whole genome shotgun sequence.